AUACGGAGGAUCCGAGCGUUAUCCGGAUUUAUUGGGUUUAAAGGGUGCGCAGGCGGCCAUUUAAGUCAGCGGUUAAAUCGUGGGGCUCAACCCCAUUCUGCCGUUGAUACUGGGUGGCUUGAUUGCGGUCGAGGUUGGCGGAAUUCGUUGUGUAGCGGUGAAAUGCAUAGAUAUGACGAAGAACACCGAUUGCGUAGGCAGCUGACCAGACCGCAAAUGACGCUCAUGCACGAAAGUGCGGGGAUCGAACAGGAUUAGAUACCCUGGUAGUCCGCACAGUAAACGAUGAAUACUUGUUUUCGGCGAUAUAAUGUCGGAGGCAAAGCGAAAGCGAUAAGUAUUCCACCCGGGGAGUACGCCGGCAACGGUGGAACUCAAAUGAAUUGACGGGG
rnacentral:rRNA from 1 species